AUUGAACGCUGGCGGGAUGCUUAACACAUGCAAGUCGAACGAGUGGCGGACGGGUGAGUAAUGUAUGGGAAACUGCCCGGUGGCGGGGGAUAACUACUGGAACCGGUAGCUAAUACCGCAUACCAUCGGAUGUGCCGAUAUGGGAUUAGCUAGUUGGUGGGGUAACGGCUCACCUAGGCGACGAUCCGUAGCUGGUCUGAGAGGAUGACCAGCCACACUGGAACUGAGACACGGUCCAGACUCCUACGGGAGGCAGCAGUGGGGAAUUUUGGACAAUGGGGGAAACCCUGAUCCAGCCAUGCCGCGUGUAUGAUGAAGGCCUUCGGGUUGUAAAGUACUUUUGGCAGGGAGGCGGUAUUCGCAGAAGAAGCACCGGCUAACUCCGUGCCAGCAGCCGCGGUAAUAC
rnacentral:rRNA from 1 species